UGAUAUUUUUGUGGCUGAUGAAAAAUCAAAGCUCAUUAUCACUCCUCAGAUCCUUUCUCAAGAAAGCUUCAGCUUUUUUGGAAAGCGUUCAGAGAGGAAAGUUUGUUGCUAUCUGCAGCAGCAAACAGCUAAGAAAUCAAAGGCAACAAUUCACAACACAGAUCAGCAAAAGUAGCCUGAGCUGUUGGUGGUGGUGAGAAAUGUACCCUGCAGAGGCAGCAAAGCACAGGAUAUCAGCCAUGGAUAUGCUGAAACCACAGAGCUCCAGUCUGGGAUUUGAGCCUUGUAAUCAGAUUGGUGAGGUUUGGGUUCAAUAAAAUACAAAA